UUGGGGCUUGCUCCAAAAGUUAGUGGCGCACGGGUGAGUAACGCGUGGGAAUCUGCCCUAGAGUGGGGAACAACCUUUGGAAACGAAGGCUAAUACCGCAUAAUCCCUUAGGGGGAAAGGCUUCGGCCGCUCUUGGAUGAUCCCGCGUCUGAUUAGCUAGUUGGUUGGGUAACGGCUGACCAAGGCGACGAUCAGUAGCUGGUCUGAGAGGAUGAUCAGCCACACUGGGACUGAGACACGGCCCAGACUCC
rnacentral:rRNA from 1 species